CCUACGGGUGGCAGCAGUGGGGAAUAUUGGACAAUGGGGGCAACCCUGAUCCAGCCAUGCCGCGUGUGUGAAGAAGGCCCUCGGGUUGUAAAGCACUUUCAGUGAGGAAGAACGCCUGGUGGUUAAUACCCAUCAGGAAAGACAUCACUCACAGAAGAAGCACCGGCUAACUCCGUGCCAGCAGCCGCGGUAAUACGGAGGGUGCGAGCGUUAAUCGGAAUUAUUGGGCGUAAAGCGCGCGUAGGUGGCUUGAUAAGCCGGUUGUGAAAGCCCCGGGCUCAACCUGGGAACGGCAUCCGGAACUGUCAAGCUAGAGUGCAGGAGAGGAAGGUAGAAUUCCCGGUGUAGCGGUGAAAUGCGUAGAGAUCGGGAGGAAUACCAGUGGCGAAGGCGGCCUUCUGGACUGACACUGACACUGAGGUGCGAAAGCGUGGGUAGCAAACAGGAUUAGAUACCCCUGUAGUC
rnacentral:rRNA from 1 species